rnacentral:lncRNA from 1 species
CUCGUCUCUUCCGCAGGCAGUUUUUUCCACGGGCUUCCAUGAGGCAGGUUUUAGACGACAGAAUUCUAGCCCUUUAGGAAUGAAAGAGAAAUCAGGGCUUUCUCUCCGUGCCACGGUGGUGAGGCGAGUAUUCUAUCGAAGCCCACGCUUGGCACGUUUGCUUGUCUCCCGGGCCAUUGGAACCGUGUGAUCCAUAAGGCGCCUGAGCGCGCGUUUGGUCAGAGGGGCUCGGUCACUCGCCAGGGGAAACCCUGGGUGCGGGAGCUUCCUCUGCAUUUGGGCUGCACCUUGAUAGACUCAGAACCUACAGGGAAAGAUGACGGCUAACUCCGCCGACCUCUCAACCGGGAGAGCCCCAGAGAGGAAGCAGAUUUGUCUCCUGGACUAUCGAAGUGUCCCGGUGGCAAGCUAAGCGGAAAGCUAGUUUGGCAUCUCACAGCACCCAGGCUCACCCAUAGUCUGUUCACUUUCUUGAAAC